GGCCAAUCUUCCUCACCAAGAAAAAGAAAAUUCCAGCUCUGAAGAAAGCCAUCUUGAUCCAGGUAUUGCUAAACAAUUUGGGGCUUAUUAUUCUCUUUAGAAGGUUCAUUUAAUCUGAAACUAUACAUCAGAGGCCUCAGACUGACAGCCUGAAUCAGCCCACAAGAAUGUUUUAUUUGGCCUAAACAGCACUCAAACAGAAUCUCACGUCACAAUUUAAAAAUCAGAGAUUUUUUAUGUAGCAACACAGAUUUCCUAAUCUGAAGAACUCACAACACAGCCUUGUUCCCUUGAGGCAACAGUCAGUUGCAGACCCUUCAGAAGGCGCAAGAGCUGUGCUCUCCCAUUUGCUUCAGUCCUGGCGUGGCCCAGCCUGCUUCCCUUUUCUUAUGAUCGCUUCCAUUCCACCCUGACCCUGUAGACAUUUGAUUUCUUGAUUUUUUGGGACUGUGGCCUCAAAAGCCAGACUGCUCCCAGGGGGACUACUGGUCAUCAAGGCAGGAUUGAGCUGCAUGUUAUUUGUCAUAAAAGAACCUGGGUCAGGUGGAACAUGUUUGAGCUCAGAAGAGAGAAGAAUUUGUAGCCAGAGUGUACACCAGUGACAUACAUUAAAAUAGAAUUGAAAUGAUGUAAAUGUCCUUCAUUCGUUCAUUCAUUCCUUAAUCCAUUUGUUCACAGAAUAUUUAUGGACUGACUGGAUCUGGGUCACCAUGGUCUCCCUCCAAGACUUGAUGCAUAAUAAGGAUAACAAAAUAAAUGUUCCACAGAACAAUACAGAUAUUGAGACAAUGGGACAGGCUUGUGGCUUUUAGAGGGGAUGUGCUGCUGGCUCGUGGAGUGCCACCCGAAGGGCUGACAAUUCUGCGAGAGCUUCGAGCCACAUGAGGGAAGUGCCAAGAGAAUCACUUGCAAGGAGAGGAUGUGCCUGUAAGAAGAGGUCCUGUGACGCUGAGAAGCAAAAUGUCCUGUUCAAGCUAACUUGGUAAUCCUUAGAAGCAGCCCCAAGGAAGAAGAUUGCCACACUCUGCUUGAUCUAAUGGGCCACAACAGCUCCCAAAUUGAAGAAAUGAGGAUUGGCAUGUCAAGGAAGAGAGACAGCUGAGAGAGAAGAUGGUGGCCUGUGACUAAGAAAUACUAACCUCUGGAACUAUGUGACUCUCGGAUAUCGAUUCCGUUCUGCUGCAGGCUCCAGGCUCUGGGACCACUUCUGAUCUUAGACUUGGAGGGCUUUAGGGUCUGAUUUUGGGGCUCAGCACUAAGUCAAUCUUGCUACCCAUUCAGCCAUGACGUUGUAGUCCACUCUGCAUAAAGGUGCUUCUCCCUUGUGCAGAAGAUUCAAUCUCCACAUUGUAUCCUAAUCAUGGUAGCUGGGUCCUUGUCUUGCUCCUUGUGUUUCUCAAUCUGUCUUGUCCUUUUUGAACUGAAGUCUUUCAUUGCCUUACCCAAAGUCAAGAGGUUUCUAGCCAAGAGGUUUCUAGCCUUCAUAUAACUUAACUCCUGUUGGACUCGAUAUUGCCUGUUUCUAGAUUCUUCAUGUCAUCCUUUGAAUGGAUGUUGGGACACCCUCUGCUCCUUUGAGUUGUCCCUCGUUUCCCUCCCCCUGCUUCAUACCAACUAAUAGCCUAGAAAAACAGAUGUUUAUUGUUAAGUAUUUUCCAAACUGCGUCUCCAAUAUCUAGUGGAGUGCCUGGACCAUAGUAGGCAUUCAAUAAAUAUAUAGAGAAUGAAUGAAUUCAUUCUACCUGCCAGCCAGGACUCCUUUCCAGUAUUUGCUGGCAAAGUCCAUUUUCCCAGAAACUGCCGGUCUCAGAGGUUUCUAGAUCUCAGCUCACCCCAGUUUGCCCAGGCUGCCUUGCCUUACCUUGAACUGGGACACAACACCAAAAUAUUAUGCAUCUUUGUAUCAUCAGCAAGGUGUGUCUUCAAUGCCUCAUUCUUCUUUGCAGGUUUUUGAAAAUGUUGGCCUGUUCUAGCUUAUUUUCUCUUUCCUUUGCCUCCUGGUUGUCUCUCAGAAACUUUAGGAAAAAUUUUAUUUGAUGAAAUUAAUUCAUACCAAAGUGCCAAUCACUAACAAUUCAGGGAAGUUAGCCAGUAAACUUCAAGGUAUAGCCCUGGGUUGUAGUUAGUGAAGCCAAGAGGAAGUUCCACCUUAGAUAGAGCGGGAAUGUUUCUAGAAACUGGAGAUAUUUAGCUUGGAGAUCAUCUUGGGAAGGUCAUGGCAGCUAUUUCAAAUAUACAUAUAUGUCUGAUGUGUAAAAGUCAGAAUACAUCUAUAUUGUGCAAAUAAGCAUUGGUGAUGAUCUGCCCUAA
ensembl:lncRNA